rnacentral:rRNA from 1 species
CCUACGGGAGGCUGCAGUGGGGAAUAUUGGACAAUGGGCGAAAGCCUGAUCCAGCCAUGCCGCGUGUGUGAAGAAGGCCUUCGGGUUGUAAAGCACUUUCAGUGGGGAAGAAAGCCUUGGGGCUAAUACCCUCGAGGAAGGACAUCACCCACAGAAGAAGCACCGGCUAACUCCGUGCCAGCAGCCGCGGUAAUACCGGAGGGUGCGAGCGUUAAUCGGAAUUACUGGGCGUAAAGCGCGCGUAGGCGGUCUGAUAAGCCGGUUGUGAAAGCCCCGGGCUCAACCUGGGAACGGCAUCCGGAACUGUCAGGCUAGAGUGCAGGAGAGGAAGGUAGAAUUCCCGGUGUAGCGGUGAAAUGCGUAGAGAUCGGGAGGAAUACCAGUGGCGAAGGCGGCCUUCUGGACUGACACUGACGCUGAGGUGCGAAAGCGUGGGUAGCAAACAGGAUUAGAUACCCGAGUAGUC